GCCUGGGGGGCUUAGUCGGUUAAGCGUCCGACUUCGGCUCAGGUCAUGAUCUCGCAGUUUGUGGGUUCAAGCCCCACGUCGGGCA
rnacentral:tRNA from 1 species